rnacentral:rRNA from 1 species
GAUGAACGCUGGCGGCGUGCUUAACACAUGCAAGUCGAACGGUGAAGGCGGAGCUUGCUCUGCUGGAUCAGUGGCGAACGGGUGAGUAACACGUGAGCAAUCUGCCCCUGACUCUGGGAUAAGCGCUGGAAACGGCGUCUAAUACUGGAUACGAGCUGCGAAGGCAUCUUCAGCAGCUGGAAAGAAUUUCGGUCAGGGAUGAGCUCGCGGCCUAUCAGCUUGUUGGUGAGGUAAUGGCUCACCAAGGCGUCGACGGGUAGCCGGCCUGAGAGGGUGACCGGCCACAAUGGGACUGAGACACGGCCCAGACUGCUACGGGAGGCAGCAGUGGGGAAUAUUGCACAAUGGGCGAAAGCCUGAUGCAGCAACGCCGCGUGAGGGACGACGGCCUUCGGGUUGUAAACCUCUUUUAGCAGGGAAGAAGCGAAAGUGACGGUACCUGCAGAAAAAGCGCCGGCUAACUACGUG